GACAGUGGUAGUUCAGUGGUUAAGCUGUUGGACUGCUGAUCAUACGGUUGUGAGUUCAAGUCCCUGCACUGCCA